UAUGAGGUGGUCGAAAUAAGUCGGUAGAUUGUAAAUCUAUGAAUAAGCGUAGCUUUCUCAUGG
rnacentral:tRNA from 1 species